rnacentral:lncRNA from 1 species
GGAUUUUGGAAGAAGAAAUGUUCAAAAUUUAACCAUCCAGAUGUUGGGGCUUAAAUAGACUUCACUACUUUGGAGAUAUUUAUCUCACAAGGAAGAAUGUAACGCAGCGGAAUUGAUAGGCUAGAGAAAGAAAGAAUACUUAAAGUAUUACACAAGACUUUUAUUCACUCACAAACUUAGUGCAAGAGGAAACACUCAAACACUCUUAGAAGCUUUGUUGCUUCUUCUCACUUCUCACUACUUGCUCUCUUGGUUGUUUCAAAUGGUGUGGACGCCUUCUCCUUUUAUAGGCAUGGAUGGAACCUUGGAUAAGCAUGGAAGCAUCAUGCUAGAGAUAUCUAGAUAAUUCCACUACCUUCCUAAGCUAGAAUUAUCUACAUUAAUCUUGUAUGUUGGUGGAAUCCUCACCAUUCUUCUAGACUCUUCCACCAACUUGAACUUUGCUAGAAUUCUCUAGCACGUGCAUGGAUCUUUCUUUGUGUAUAGGCCGGAUCAAUUGUCUUGGGCCAAGACAAGAUUACAAUUCAACACCAGAUUAGGGGAAACAACUAAACUGUAAAAUUAGCAACAAUUAAACAUUAGGAAGAGAAAAUUUUAUGUAAUUCAUAAAACAUAUAAAAUAAAUUGAAAAGAGUUCGCAAAGGAGAUUUAGAGUUAAAUCCAUACCUUGAUACUUGAUGGCGAGGUCGUAAGGGAUAGGUCAAUGGCAAAAGCCAACGUAUAGCGAGUAAGAGAAACUUAACGGAUGUCCACUGCAUGCUACACUGUGUUUCGGCAUAUUCUUUCUGGGAUUUGGUCAGGAAACUACAACCAUUUUUACAAAUUUCCAUAAGCCAACAAUGGAAAAUGAAAAUACUUAAGCAACUUAGAAGGAGGCAGACAACAGAAACCAAAUAACGGAACACGCGAGAAGUAAAACGUUAAAAACAGAACAUACCAUAAAGUUUAAUACCUCUGCAAAAGCCUACAAAUCAUGCAAAGACCAAAAAUUUCAAAGACCACAAAUCAUGCAGAGACAAAAAAUUCAGUAUAUUAGCAGUCCCUACAAAAGCCUAAAAUAAGAAAAUUAGUAAAAUAGAAUUUGAUAACAUUAUACUUUAAGAAACCCUAAAUUUCCAGUCAAAGGAAAAUUAAUACCUCUGCAAACAAAAAAAAAAAAAAUCGAGAGAUAAAAACUCAAAUCCCAGAAAAUAAAUCAUAAAGUUUGAUUAGAAUUUAGGAGAAGGGUAAGAUUGGAUACGCAAAGAGAGGGUGGCCUUGUAUUUCUACUUCUCUGAAAUGCAAUCCUCCUUGUCCCAGGGCUCUUCACAAACUUCUCCGAGUACCACCCGCACACAGAAACAAUAUCCAUUUACCCUAUUCAGAAAUCGAAAAAUGGAUUUUAGAGAGAGGCGAGAGAAGUAGGAUUUAAGAGUAAUCAUGGAAACUAAUUGUGCUGAGCGGAAGCAAUUGUGGUUGGCGUCUCUGAGAUUUGAACGGGGAGAAAUGGAGGAGCUGUGAGAGAGAGUUGGACCAAAGGUUGAGAGAUAUCUGAAGAAAUGAGAGAUCGAGCUCUAAUAACAACGGAUUUAUCAGAAAUCCGUUCAACAAACGAAUAAAUAAAUAAAAACCGUUAUUUUAGUUAAUUAAAAUUUAACGCUCCAUUGGUUGGCGAGCAACCGCGGAGGAUUAGAAAACAAAAAUUUCUGGUGAUGUGAAAUUUUAGUUCCUAUUAUUCCUUGUGUAAUUAUAUUUAUAGGUAUUGGAAAUGGAAAACUGAAUUAAAAAUGGAAUUAAAUUAAGAAGCCGGUGGGUAUUACCUUGAAAGCGUGGAUUUAAAGGUUUGAGGAUGAACAGAGAGUAGGGAUUUUCCCACCAACCAAACAGACGGGAAAAGAAAGUUGAACUAAACACGAAAGCCAACUCGAUCGAUCUCGUCCGCUCCAGCUAGGUAUGGUCCUCAAGCUCGUGACCGAUAGCAGCUCGAUUAUCUUCCUGAGGGGUUUUUUUGGUGUCAUUUUCUCUCUUUUUUGGUGUCCCAACGAAUUAUGUGUCAUUUUCUC